AUUGAACGCUGGCGGAAUGCUUUACACAUGCAAGUCGAACGGCAGCACGGACUUCGGUCUGGUGGCGAGUGGCGAACGGGUGAGUAAUGUAUCGGAACGUGCCCAGUCGGGGGGGAUAACGUAGUGAAAAUUACGCUAAUACCGCAUCCGAUCUAUGGAUGAAAGCGGGGGAUCGCAAGCCCUCGCGCGAUUGGAGCGGCCGAUAUCAGAUUAGGUAGUUGGUGGGGUAAAGGCCCACCAAGCCAACGAUCUGUGGCUGGUCUGAGAGGACGACCAGCCACACGGGAACUGAGACACGGUCCAGACUCCUACGGGAGGCAGCAGUGGGGAAUUUUGGACAAUGGGCGAAAGCCUGAUCCAGCCAUUCCGCGUGCAGGAUGAAGGCCCUCGGGUUGUAAACUGCUUUUGUACAGAACGAAAAGGUUUCUACUAAUACUAGGAGCUCAUGACGGUACUGUAAGAAUAAGCACCGGCUAACUACGUGCCAGCAGCCGCCGUAA
rnacentral:rRNA from 1 species